GCAUCCCACCACAGAGAAUGACAUAGAGGUCAAAAUGUAAAGCAAGUUCUCUAUUUUGGGACUGAGACCUGCCUGACCAACUCCUUUAGGCUUCCUCCCUACAUGUCACAAAUCUGAUCCCUCUUACUGCAAGAAACUCCUUUUCAUUAAAGCUGCAAGUCUCGAAAGACAGGCUAACAUUGACAUCUCUUUAAUUUGCCUAUCACUCAUCUUGCCUCUCCCUUCUGGCAAUGUGAUCAUCAAUUAUUGACUUUGGAGUACACUUGGAAGCAUCACGAGUAACAUGUUCCAAACCACUUUUUGAAAUACGUCAUCAGACUGUGAAUUUCUGGCUUCAUCUGGCUGGUCUUACUACAUAAAGGCCCCUGGUAGGCAGAGUCUUACAGGAGGAGGAAGAGAAGGAAAUUCAGAUUCCUGCUGAGACUCCUUGGGGACAGCCAGACAUGAAGACCCUGAUGCUUUUAGGACUUGUGCUCUUGUGUAGCCAGUUCACACUGAGCUUGGCCCAGGAGGAAGAACAAGGCUCAAAAGUCAUCUCAGAGGUCGCUAACAGUUUGCAGAAUACUCUGACAAAUGCUGUGAAAGAGCUCAACAAGGUGGACUUGAUAAAAGAAAUUGAGGACGCACCAAUUAUUGGAAAUGUGCUGAAGGCAUUGAGUGGAAUGAUUGGGAAAAUAGUUUCGUUCAACAUUAAAAAUGCCCAACUCCUGAAAAUUUCCCUCACAGAAAAUCAAGACAAAAAGAGUCUCUCUCUCAGUGUGCCCUUGGAUGUCUCUCUGAGUUUGAACACAUUGCUUCUCAAGGCGAUUGAUAUCACUCUAAAUGCGAACACAUCACUUGAACUCACAACUGAAAAGAAUGAAGAUGGAGAAGCUCGCCUGAGUGUUUCCAAAUGUCAGACAAGCUCUCAACUUCUUAAAAUCUCAUCCCAGCAAACGGGUUUAUUUGGAUGGGGACUAGAAGCUUUAUCUAAAUCCGUGAGCCGACUUGCUGAGUGGGAGGUCAAGCAAUUAUUCUGCCCUUUGAUCAGAACCGUAGUAGGACUGGCGCCUCCAGCACUGGUAGGCGCUUUGCAUGAUGUGGUACAUGGGGACGUCACUGUUACUGUGUAAUUCUCCAUUAAAUGGACAAUAACUUCCCUCCUCCCCCAAGGAUAAGACCCUCUUGCUCUUCUUUUCCUUCUGCCUGAAGCCAUUUAAAGCCAGAGGACAACUUACUGGAUCUUGUGUCUGAUGCUUUUCCUCUGCUGACCCCUGCCAUGGUCUCCUUGCCUGGGCUUACUGGAGCCACUUUCCUUGCAUGAAGACUCUCUCUGGACAGUGUGUUCCUUUCCCCUGGUUUUCCUUACAAUAAACUUCCCACUAUUUCAGCA
rnacentral:lncRNA from 1 species